rnacentral:rRNA from 1 species
UUAAGCGACUAAGCGUACACGGUGGAUGCCCUGGCAGUCAGAGGCGAUGAAGGACGUGCUAAUCUGCGAUAAGCGUCGGUAAGGUGAUAUGAACCGUUAUAACCGGCGAUUUCCGAAUGGGGAAACCCAGUGUGAUUCGUCACACUAUCAUUAACUGAAUCCAUAGGUUAAUGAGGCGAACCGGGGGAACUGAAACAUCUAAGUACCCCGAGGAAAAGAAAUCAACCGAGAUUCCCCCAGUAGCGGCGAGCGAACGGGGAGCAGCCCAGAGCCUGAAUCAGUGUGUGUGUUAGUGGAAGCGUCUGGAAAGGCGCGCGAUACAGGGUGACAGCCCCGUACACAAAAAUGCACAUGCUGUGAGCUCGAUGAGUAGGGCGGGACACGUGGUAUCCUGUCUGAAUAUGGGGGGACCAUCCUCCAAGGCUAAAUACUCCUGACUGACCGAUAGUGAACCAGUACCGUGAGGGAAAGGCGAAAAGAACCCCGGCGAGGGGAGUGAAAAAGAACCUGAAACCGUGUACGUACAAGCAGUGGGAGCACGCUUAGGCGUGUGACUGCGUACCUUUUGUAUAAUGGGUCAGCGACUUAUAUUCUGUAGCAAGGUUAACCGAAUAGGGGAGCCGAAGGGAAACCGAGUCUUAACUGGGCGUUAAGUUGCAGGGUAUAGACCCGAAACCCGGUGAUCUAGCCAUGGGCAGGUUGAAGGUUGGGUAACACUAACUGGAGGACCGAACCGACUAAUGUUGAAAAAUUAGCGGAUGACUUGUGGCUGGGGGUGAAAGGCCAAUCAAACCGGGAGAUAGCUGGUUCUCCCCGAAAGCUAUUUAGGUAGCGCCUCGUGAAUUCAUCUCCGGGGGUAGAGCACUGUUUCGGCAAGGGGGUCAUCCCGACUUACCAACCCGAUGCAAACUGCGAAUACCGGAGAAUGUUAUCACGGGAGACACACGGCGGGUGCUAACGUCCGUCGUGAAGAGGGAAACAACCCAGACCGCCAGCUAAGGUCCCAAAGUCAUGGUUAAGUGGGAAACGAUGUGGGAAGGCCCAGACAGCCAGGAUGUUGGCUUAGAAGCAGCCAUCAUUUAAAGAAAGCGUAAUAGCUCACUGGUCGAGUCGGCCUGCGCGGAAGAUGUAACGGGGCUAAACCAUGCACCGAAGCUGCGGCAGCGACGCUGAUGCGUUGUUGGGUAGGGGAGCGUUCUGUAAGCCUGUGAAGGUGUACUGUGAGGUAUGCUGGAGGUAUCAGAAGUGCGAAUGCUGACAUAAGUAACGAUAAAGCGGGUGAAAAGCCCGCUCGCCGGAAGACCAAGGGUUCCUGUCCAACGUUAAUCGGGGCAGGGUGAGUCGACCCCUAAGGCGAGGCCGAAAGGCGUAGUCGAUGGGAAACAGGUUAAUAUUCCUGUACUUGGUGUUACUGCGAAGGGGGGACGGAGAAGGCUAUGUUGGCCGGGCGACGGUUGUCCCGGUUUAAGCGUGUAGGCUGGUUUUCCAGGCAAAUCCGGAAAAUCAAGGCUGAGGCGUGAUGACGAGGCACUACGGUGCUGAAGCAACAAAUGCCCUGCUUCCAGGAAAAGCCUCUAAGCAUCAGGUAACAUCAAAUCGUACCCCAAACCGACACAGGUGGUCAGGUAGAGAAUACCAAGGCGCUUGAGAGAACUCGGGUGAAGGAACUAGGCAAAAUGGUGCCGUAACUUCGGGAGAAGGCACGCUGAUAUGUAGGUGAAGCCCCUCGCGGAUGGAGCUGAAAUCAGUCGAAGAUACCAGCUGGCUGCAACUGUUUAUUAAAAACACAGCACUGUGCAAACACGAAAGUGGACGUAUACGGUGUGACGCCUGCCCGGUGCCGGAAGGUUAAUUGAUGGGGUCAGCGCAAGCGAAGCUCUUGAUCGAAGCCCCGGUAAACGGCGGCCGUAACUAUAACGGUCCUAAGGUAGCGAAAUUCCUUGUCGGGUAAGUUCCGACCUGCACGAAUGGCGUAAUGAUGGCCAGGCUGUCUCCACCCGAGACUCAGUGAAAUUGAACUCGCUGUGAAGAUGCAGUGUACCCGCGGCAAGACGGAAAGACCCCGUGAACCUUUACUAUAGCUUGACACUGAACAUUGAGCCUUGAUGUGUAGGAUAGGUGGGAGGCUUUGAAGUGUGGACGCCAGUCUGCAUGGAGCCGACCUUGAAAUACCACCCUUUAAUGUUUGAUGUUCUAACGUGGACCCGUAAUCCGGGUUGCGGACAGUGUCUGGUGGGUAGUUUGACUGGGGCGGUCUCCUCCUAAAGAGUAACGGAGGAGCACGAAGGUUGGCUAAUCCUGGUCGGACAUCAGGAGGUUAGUGCAAUGGCAUAAGCCAGCUUGACUGCGAGCGUGACGGCGCGAGCAGGUGCGAAAGCAGGUCAUAGUGAUCCGGUGGUUCUGAAUGGAAGGGCCAUCGCUCAACGGAUAAAAGGUACUCCGGGGAUAACAGGCUGAUACCGCCCAAGAGUUCAUAUCGACGGCGGUGUUUGGCACCUCGAUGUCGGCUCAUCACAUCCUGGGGCUGAAGUAGGUCCCAAGGGUAUGGCUGUUCGCCAUUUAAAGUGGUACGCGAGCUGGGUUUAGAACGUCGUGAGACAGUUCGGUCCCUAUCUGCCGUGGGCGCUGGAGAACUGAGGGGGGCUGCUCCUAGUACGAGAGGACCGGAGUGGACGCAUCACUGGUGUUCGGGUUGUCAUGCCAAUGGCACUGCCCGGUAGCUAAAUGCGGAAGAGAUAAGUGCUGAAAGCAUCUAAGCACGAAACUUGCCCCGAGAUGAGUUCUCCCUGAC